GACGAACGCUGGCGGCGUGCCUAAUACAUGCAAGUAGAACGCUGAAGAGAGGAGCUUGCUCUUCUUGGAUGAGUUGCGAACGGGUGAGUAACGCGUAGGUAACCUGCCUUGUAGCGGGGGAUAACUAUUGGAAACGAUAGCUAAUACCGCAUAACAAUGGAUGACACAUGUCAUUUAUUUGAAAGGUGCAAUUGCUCCACUACAAGAUGGACCUGCGUUGUAUUAGCUAGUAGGUGAGGUAAUGGCUCACCUAGGCGACGAUACAUAGCCGACCUGAGAGGGUGAUCGGCCACACUGGGACUGAGACACGGCCCAGACUCCUACGGGAGGCAGCAGUAGGGAAUCUUCGGCAAUGGGGGCAACCCUGACCGAGCAACGCCGCGUGAGUGAAGAAGGUUUUCGGAUCGUAAAGCUCUGUUGUAAGUCAAGAACGGGUGUGAGAGUGGAAAGUUCACACUGUGACGGUAGCUUACCAGAAAGGGACGGCUAACUACGUG
rnacentral:rRNA from 1 species